rnacentral:misc_RNA from 1 species
AGUUCUGCACUGGCACUUUCUUUCCCAGUAAAACCCAAAUCCUCUUCUAUCUGCCUUGUCGGGCCUCUUCCUUCUUUUUCCUAAUUCACAAGCACCCUGCAGUGAUGGUGAUGAUGGAAUAAUGUCCAUGUUUUCUCCCUGCUUUGUGCUCUUGUUUAACCGUUUCAUCAUAAUCAGAUCAUAAAUCUUGGGACUAUUGACAGGAGAACUAGCAGUAUCCUCCAAAGCAUCAUCAGCAACCAAAGCUCCUUUGGUUUUUCUCUUCUUAAAACUCAACCUGCCAUAAUUAAAUCUGCUAUUUAUGGAUAACCCAACAGCAGCAGCAGCUGCUUCUUCAUUAGUAUUAUCAUCUUUAUCAACAGAAUCGUUUUCCUUCUUCAUAACCAAAGAAGCAGCAUCCGAGACUAGAGAAGAAGUAGUUUCAUUAUCAUAAGGGAAACAACUAUUUUCACCAUUAAUGCUGCUCUGCUUCUUGUUGUUGUUGUUUUUGGCAAAGAAAUCAUCAAGGUACAUAGUCCAACCACUAUCUUCAUCAAAACUAUGAUCAUCUUCACCAUCAUCAAUAUAAUCAUCACCAACAAAGCAAGUUCUCUCAUUACAAGAGGAUGAGACAAGUUUUCUCAUAGAGUCCUCCAUAUAUGUGUGUAAAAACUUGAGAA